GGCGCUCGGAGCGGCCCAAGGGUCGCGCCGGCGUGCCGGAAAGAUGACCAAACUUGAUCAUUUAGAGGAAGUAAAAGUCGUAACAAGGUUUUCGUAGGUGAACCUGCGAAAGGAUCAUUA
rnacentral:rRNA from 1 species